UAGUCCACGCCGUAAACGAUGUCUACUAGUUGUUGGGACCCUUGAGGUCUUAGUGACGCAGCUAACGCAUUAAGUAGACCGCCUGGGGAGUACGGUCGCAAGAUUAAAACUCAAAUGAAUUGACGGGGGCCCGCACAAGCGGUGGAGCAUGUGGUUUAAUUCGACGCAACGCGAAGAACCUUACCUACUCUUGACAUCCUGAUAAUUCGCUAGAGAUAGCUUAGUGCCUUCGGGAAAUCAGUGACAGGUGCUGCAUGGCUGUCGUCAGCUCGUGUCGUGAGAUGUUGGGUUAAGUCCCGUAACGAGCGCAACCCUUGUCCUUAGUUGCCAGCACGUAAUGGUGGGAACUCUAAGGAGACUGCCGGUGACAAACCGGAGGAAGGCGGGGAUGACGUCAAGUCAGCAUGCCCCUUACACCCUGGGCUACACACGUGCUACAAUGGGCAAGACAAUUAGUUGCAAGCUUGUGAAAGUUGCUAAUCUCUAAACUUGUUCUAAGUUCGGAUUGU
rnacentral:rRNA from 1 species